CAGAUAACACAUUGUUUACCAUAGCCAUUGCAUGGUUAGCAAGUGUUCAAGCAUUGACAACGUUAGGACUCGGUCUGUGUGUGCUCCUUAGUUUUAGAAGAAACAAACAGUCGCCAUGUCAAUUAUGUUUCAGUAACAGCGUAAGAAAGUCACCAAACCAAACAAUUGAAGAUUGUUCAAAUACGCAAGCGGCUGAUAAUCAUGGACAUGAGCACUAUGAAGCUUUAGAUACUAACACCAUUCAGAAGGAAAAAGUUUAUGAAGUUCCUACCGAGGUCGGGUUAGAGACAUACGAAAAUAUAAGGUUGUCAUCUAUCUCUACUCCAGAUGUACAAGUGGCACACAGCUAGGAUAGCUCGUACUACUGGUCAAAACUCUCGGCGUACGUUCGAUUAUCGUCAUACUCGUUUAUAAAGCGAAAUGUGAAAUGUAUAGUGCAUAUGCUUCUACAAACGUUCUUAUUCAUAAAGCAAGGUAGCUACGUCUUUGCUAUUUGACUUUAGUUAACGUUAUGCGUUAUCUUUGAACAAAUUCUGAAAACGUUAUAUGAAAUAACUUUUUUUCAAGUUAAGCCUUUAACGUGAAUAAUAUGCAGUAAAAUCUGCAAUUGUAUUUCGACUAGCCGGGUGGUAUUUAAACAGAAACACCAUCUUCUGACAUCAGACUGGAAUGGCAAACUUUCUUGUUCAACGUAGCUUUUUUACUUGCUUGCAAAUUAGUUAAUAGAUAUAUUUGUAUAUGUUCAUGUGAUGAGACGCACGAAGUAGGUAGUUAACGGUAGUUACAAGUACUAGUAAAUGGUUAUUAUAAUUUUGUAAAAGUGACGAGCAUGGACACAAUAUUCUUAAUAGAAUAUUGACUUAAUGAAAGUAUGCUAUAACCACUGCGAUAUAAUCUUGUAUGCAAGGGUUGAUUUAGAAGUAGUGAGGUAUAUUUUUCUAAUAAUCGCAUUCAGUUAUACAGCACAUACUUUUACACAUGAUAAACUGUCCGUUGUUUGCAAAAUAAUUUUACUAUACCCUCCCAACUACUUCUUUCCGGUCGCAGUCGUCAUACUAACAAACUAACUAAAUAGAAUUUAAAUCUCUUUUGAUGAAUCGAAUAUGUAAAAUUUAUGUAUCAAUGAGUUAAAUGUAUUCCUGUCACAAUCAUUAUGACUUUUUACUAUUUUAUAUCACAUCAUUUUGUGGGACAGUUAGUUCAUGCUUCUUUGAUUAUUUAUUUUGUUUUA
rnacentral:lncRNA from 1 species